rnacentral:lncRNA from 1 species
GUAUGAUAAUCUCAUUUGUAAGAAGUAAUAUGAGUUAAAAUAAUAAAAUAUUGCAUGCAUUUCAUGAAAAUAAAUUAUAAUUGUUGAAUAAAUAUUUUAAAGUGUUUUUGAUAAUUUUUAAUGAAUUUUAGUUAAUUUUUUAUUUACUUAAAAUUAAAAUAAAUUACAUACUAUUUUUUGACAUAAAUAAAUAAUAUCUAUUAUUGGCAUUGUUGUAUGAUUUCUACCUGAUCUGAUACCUCUAAAAAUGCCAUGUCACCCCUUUUCGGUAGCAAAUCAACAAUAAUUUGAUACAUAUAUUAUGCUGACAUUUUUUUAUUUUUCAAGACAUGCC